rnacentral:rRNA from 1 species
CCUACGGGAGGCAGCAGUGGGGAAUAUUGCGCAAUGGGGGAAACCCUGACGCAGCAACGCCGCGUGAGUGAGGAAGGACUUCGGUCUGUAAAGCUCUGUUAAUGUGGAAAAAUGGUGGUUGGUCUAAUAGGCCGAUUAUUUGAUGGUACACAUAGAGGAAGCACCGGCUAACUUCGUGCCAGCAGCCGCGGUAAUACGAAGGGUGCAAGCGUUGUUCGGAUUUAUUGGGCGUAAAGCGCGCGUAGGCGGACCUGCAAGUCAGAUGUGAAAUCUCGGGGCUCAACCUCGAAACUGCGUCUGAAACUACAGGUCUAGAAUCUUGGAGGGGGAAGGGGAAUUUCUCAUGUAGGGGUAAAAUCCGUAGAUAUGAGAAGGAACACCAGAGGCGAAGGCGCCUUCCUGGACAAGUAUUGACGCUGAGGCGCGAAAGCGUGGGGAUCAAACAGGAUUAGAUACCCUGGUAGUCCACGCUGUAAACGAUGAAUACUAGAUAUUGCAGGAUUUGACCCCAGCAGUGUCGUAGCUAACGCGUUAAGUAUUCCGCCUGGGAAUACGGUCGCAAGACUAAAACUCAAAGGAAUUGACGG